CCCCACUAUGCCCAGGCAUCAAUUUAAGACCAGUCGGUCCGCCAGAAGAUUACGAGCGAAAGCUUAAAACUCAAAAGACUUGACGGUGUUCCAACCUACUUAGAGGAGCCUGUUCCAUAAUCGAUAAUCCACGAUAAACCCAACCACCCAUUGAAAUAUCAGCCUAUAUACCGCCGUCGACAGCCUACCUCCAAAAGAACAAAAGCGGGCUAAAUAGGCCACACCCCAAAAAAGUCAGGUCAAGGUGUAGCUUAUAGGGUGGAGAUAAUGGGCUACAUUUUUUACAGUAAAACACACGGACUGGUUUUUGAAACAAAACCAUAAAGGCGGAUUUAACAGUAAGUCAAAAAAGAAUACCUAACUUAACCAAGCUCUGGAACACGUAC
rnacentral:rRNA from 1 species